UACGGGGGGGGCAAGCGUUGUUCGGAAUUACUGGGCGUAAAGGGCUCGUAGGUGGCCAACUAAGUCAGACGUGAAAUCCCUCGGCUUAACCGGGGAACUGCGUCUGAUACUGGAUGGCUUGAGGUUGGGAGAGGGAUGCGGAAUUCCAGGUGUAGCGGUGAAAUGCGUAGAUAUCUGGAGGAACACCGGUGGCGAAGGCGGCAUCCUGGACCAAUUCCGACACUGAGGAGCGAAAGCCAGGGGAGCAAACGGG
rnacentral:rRNA from 1 species